CGACUUUAUAUAUGGUUGGGGUA
rnacentral:siRNA from 1 species